rnacentral:lncRNA from 1 species
ACUGAGGGGGCGAGGGGAAUCCAGGGAGCUGGGCUUCCCAGACCUUCUCAGCCAGCUUCCAGCUCUAGGCUUCAGAACCAGGCUCUGCCUUCGAUCCCCAGCCCAGCAGUCACAUGGCUUCGUGGGCUGAGGAGGAGGCUGAGCCCUAGGGCCCUGGGCCCCCAGUCCCUGGUUCAGUCCCUUAUCUGACUUCUAUAUUGGGGGUCCAUAUGAAACCCUGUUUGUAAAUAGUUUCUGCUGAUGAAAAAGAAGUUGAAAAACCACUGCUGUUGUUCACCUGUGCCCAUUCCCCUCCCCAGCACCUCCUUGCCUGGGCAAACUCACCUGGCUCCAAGGAGAGCCAACUUCCCAAUGGCCACAGAGGCGCAGCUGGCAAGACUGGGUGAUGUUGGGCCGGGGGAGAUGUCCACAGCGCUCCGGGGGCACCGAGGAGCCACCCCCCCCAAAUUCCUGCCGGCACUGCAGCUGGCGGUGCUGGGUGCCGGGGCCACAGGAGCGGCUGCAGGAUGUCCACUCGCCAGCCUCCCAGCUGCAGGCACCAGCAGGGCAGGGAAGAGGCGGAGACAUAGAUGAGAUGUGUGGGGCUGCCGUGGCAGCAGAGAUGGAAGACACACUGGACGUGGGGGCCUCAGAGGCAGGAGAUGUUGCGUUGAGUGCAGAGUUCAGGACCCAGGGGGAUCCACAGCCCAGUUCCCAUUGAUGAUGGACCGGCCCCCAGGGCCACGAAGUGCUGCGGGUCAGAGACUCCACAGCCAUCAGGACGCCUGCCAGAGCCAAGGAUCCCAUCACAGCCGGGGCUCUGGAGAGAGUGAGUGAGAGCACAAAAACAGCCCCACCAUCCCCAGCCAGACCCAGGGACAUGGACAGGUGCCCGAUCAGAUCCUUCAGGCUCUGCUCAGCGCAGCUUGGCAGCCACCUGACCCCCAGUGAUGGCCUUCCCAGGGGAGUCCGGACAAAGCGUGUCUCCCACACCUCCUCCUCCCACCCCGACCCUUCUGCAGACCACUCACCACCUGUGCUGUCUCCUGACCCAGCCCCAGGGAGAAGAAAGAAGGCAUGGCGCAGGGGAAGCAGAGGGGCUGGAAGUCAUUCAGGGCUGGGAGUAAGCAGUAAGGUUUUACACUCGGGACUCAGCGAAAGGACAGCGUGCUGACUUCUGAGUCAGACUGAUCUGGAUUUGAACCUCAGCUCCAGCUCUUGCCAGCUAUGUGGUCUUCGACGAAUACUUCCACCCCUGUGUGGUGCAGUUUGCUCAUCUGCAAAAUGGGACUAAUCUAAUAUAUAUGAUGGGCUUGGA